AUUGAACGCUGGCGGCAGGCCUAACACAUGCAAGUCGAACGAGUGGCGGACGGGUGAGUAAUGUCUGGGAAACUGCCUGAUGGAGGGGGAUAACUACUGGAAACGGUAGCUAAUACCGCAUACCAUCAGAUGUGUCCAGAUGGGAUUAGCUAUUAGGUGGGGUAACGGCUCACCUAGGCGACGAUCCCUAGCUGGUCUGAGAGGAUGACCAGCCACACUGGAACUGAGACACGGUCCAGACUCCUACGGGAGUCAGCAGUGGGGAAUAUUGCACAAUGGGCGCAAGCCUGAUGCAGCCAUGCCGCGUGUAUGAAGAAGGCCUUCGGGUUGUAAAGUACUUUCAGCGGGGAGGCGUUACCCGCAGAAGAAGCACCGGCUAACUCCGUGCCAGCAGCCGCGGUAAUAC
rnacentral:rRNA from 1 species